GAUCCCCCUUGCUGCUUUUCUGGGAACAUCCCCCUCCCUCGAAGCUCUCCCAACCCUGUGCCCCUUUCCCAGAGGGGUUGCCACAGAGGUUCAGACUUGAGGGGAGGGCAAGGCCAACAACUCCCAGCCCCUCCACCAGGCCCCCCCAGCUCAGCCAAGCUUUUCUCCUCAUUAAUCUCAAAGUCAAGGACUUGAAUUAAACUGGGUCAGGGGACAAGCACCUCCGCCCCCGCCGCGAGCCGCAGCUGGGCGUCUUUCCCUAGGGACCCCAGAGUCUGUGAGGGUCCACCACCAGCCUCACCCUCCUGGGACCCGGGCCUGUUGUCUUCCUUAGCGCGGAACCUAAUCACAUUUCUAUCCCAACCCUCUCUGGCACCCUAACAACCCCUUCCUUCCCUCCUGGGACAGGCUGAAGGCACCUUGAAUCCUCGUCUCACCUCAGCUGAUUUCCCCAGCCCUGGUCUCUAUUCCCUGGUUGAGGAUAUCAAUCCGUCCCAGACCUCGGCUUCCCUCUCUCAAUCCUUUCUUAUUCCCCCCCCCCCGGCAAUUUUUUUUUUUUUCAUUUAAUCUGGGACAUAUUUACCAGUCGGGAUCCUGUGGGGGCGGGGUCCUUCUCGCCUGGGACCUCAAGAGCGGACCUUUCCUUAGAUGACCCUAGAGACUGGCUUUCCAGGCAGGUCUCAGAAACCCAAAUGCUGGGCCCCCAUCUCCUCCCAUUCAGGAUUCUUGGAAGUCUAGGAUCCCAGCUCUCCUUAUCUGGGAAGAGAGGGGUCUGCACCCCCAGCGCACGUCCUAGGGGAACCUCAAGGGGACCUGGCCCAGGUUUGCCAUCCCACCUGCUGGUACUCUUGGUCGCGGGGAGCAAAGCCGCUGGGCACCGGGCGGAGCUGGAAGUCGGCGCGGGGCAGCUGGUGGAGGAGAUGCACCCAGGCAGAGGGAGAUGACUGGUGAAAAGUGAGGUCACAAAAGUGGGCUCUAACACAACUAGAGUCCUUCUUAAAAGAGAUUAAGGACCAGUGAGAUGGCUCAUCAGGAAAGGUUCAUUGAAGAAUGCAACAAAAUCAUUUUUAAAGAAGUGUGCAAGGCCUGAUGGCACAUGCCUUUAAUCCCAGUCCUUCAGAGGCACAGACAAAUGGAUGUCUAACCUGUUGACUGGCUGAGUGGGCUUGGUCAGCCAUAAAUAGGACAUUUCUAUCGCACUCAUUCUCCAAGGCCAAAGGAUCAUCGUCAUGCAGAGGGAGAGAGGCAGAUUCUAAGAGCCAGAGGCCAGGGAUGGAAAUCAGGUCUUUGUUUCACAAAGUUGUUUAUAGCCAUCUUGCAAGCCUACCUCUGUUUCAAUAAGGUAACGGCAGAAUUGACUCAACUCUCAGCAGUGACUUUCCUAACUCCUGGCCAUGGCCGAGCUGCUUCAGUGUCCCCAGCCUUCCUCCUUGCUUUCUCCUGGGCCAGCUCACCACUUCUCAAACUACACAUUUCUGCAACAGCAGCAAGAUCUUCCUGACAUCUUCCUCAAGCCCAAGUUUUGGUUGUAGUUUAUUUUAUUUUACUUUAGUUUUGCAUUGGACCACGGGAUAGAUAUCUUUUCCAUUAGUGGACUGGCUGCAUCUUCCCCUGUGGCUCACUGCAUGCUUGAAGGACAGCCCUUAGUCUGUAACACUGUGCAGUGUUGUCCUUCAGGUAGCUGCCACAAAGAUAACUCUACUCCCUUCUCAUGCUAAGCUGUGGACUCUCCCCUUCUGACCAGGUGGGGGCACCCCCCUUCUGACACCUCACAUCUUUGUGAGGCUAGGCACUUCCUCUCCUACUGAGGCCAAACAAGACAGCCCAAGUUGUGGCCUCUUAACCGGUUCUAACCAGUGGAAUGUGAGCGGGAGUGACUUGUGCCAUUUCAGUGCUCUAAGCGAGAAAUGCUGGAUGGGUGCAGGGGGAGAGGAAUCCGUAUCCACUGCAGUGAGAAUAGCAAUUUGUAAAAUAUCCACGGAAAUCAAUAUGGAGGCUCAAGGCCUAGUGAAGUGAGGCCAGAGGAAACCUGGGUGCCUCAGUUACCUCAGGAAGAACUCCACAUGCCAGCCUGGAUCUUCCACAUGGCAGUCUCUCACCAUGGCAGAAUAAAAAAGAAAAAUAACCAAACUACCCUUU
ensembl:antisense